rnacentral:rRNA from 1 species
CUGCCGGCGACCGGCGCACGGGUGAGUAACACGUAUGCAACCUGCCCUCCGCAGGGGGAUAACCCGGAGAAAUCCGGACUAAUACCGCGUGGUACAUCUGUGGGGCAUCCCACGGGUGUUAAAAGGAAGCGAUUCCGGCGGAGGAUGGGCAUGCGGCGCAUUAGCUAGUUGGCGGGGUAACGGCCCACCAAGGCGACGAUGCGUAGGGGUUCCGAGAGGAAGGUCCCCCACACUGGUACUGAGACACGGACCAGACUCCUACGGGAGGCAGCAG